UGCUCACUGUAUGCCUCGACCUGGACAUC
rnacentral:piRNA from 1 species